CGCAUUUUAAAAAACACCUAGGAAUAAAUCUGAGUGAGGAGGUGAAAGACAUAUGCUAUAAAACAUUGACAAAGGAAACUGAAGAUGAUUCAAAGAAAUGGAAAGAUAUCCCAUGCUCUCAGAUUAGAAAAAUUACUUAUUUAUCGUGUGUGACUUGCCCAUUCAAACAAUGAUUCCCUUCACUAAAGUCUUAGGAGAUGCAUGGGUGUGUGGAGCAUCUAUAUCUUUGAAAUACAUUUUGGUAACUGUUCUCUAUAGACAGGGAUGCUCACUGGAGAUCUUACAGUGGAGAGGGAUUCUCUGAUUUCAGUGGGGAUGGGAGGAUCCUAGGGUGUUAGAGUUCAAGUGUGACUCUUCACCUCCAGAUGCAAGUUGGAGGUUACUGUCUGGUCCGUGCCACACAGAGCGUGGCUGUGCUUGAUUGGUUCUGAGGUCCUUGGGGCUGACGAUGGGAAGCCCACCCCCAUCCUCCUCGACUUGUAGCACAAGGAGAUUCCUGACCUCUCACUCGGUUCCCAGAUCUGAAUCAGUUCAGAGGCCUGGCAUCCCUUGAAAGGGAAAUCUGAAUACACUUGAGUAAAGGAUUCUUCCAAAAUAUUCAACCGUGGGAUGUGAACUUACUCCUAGAUUUCCCCAAAGCACCCUUCAGCCGUUUACCUGGAAACUCUUCACUAGGGAAAGACAAAUACCCAUGUAUCUUCCAGAUUACUGGUGUCUAUUGCCUCUGUGAAACUUCUGGAGGUCUAAUAUUUGAGGGAACAUCAGCAUAUCCCAGGAAUGACGACAUCUUAUACCUCACCCUGUUGAACCACCACAAUCACAGCUAAUAGCUUCCCCUGGAGGAUCCCAUCAAAGCCAAGGACCAGAGGGAGGAAGAACGGCAGCAGAUGCGAGCUGAAGCCUAGGUCUGUCUGGUGGAGCCCAGGAGGAAGUCGUGCGGGAGGCGGGGUCCUGAAAGGGUCAGAAUAGAUACAUCGAAGGAUGGAGGGAGUCUCAGUACCAAUUACAAGCCAUGGCUUUACAAGCAGUGCCUUCAGCCUGGAAUUUGAGAUGACUGCAAGAAGAAGAUUUUCUUUCUUCCCACCACCCCCUUCUUCUUUUUACCUCCCAGAACUUAGCUGUGUUACAAGAAUAAUGAGUCCUGUUCCUAACACACCUUUGCCACGGUCCUCCAUGGCCCCCUGGGUGGUAGCCAUCCGAUGUUUUAGCUGCUAAGAAGAUUAGUCAGUGACAUCGCCAGAGCCUGUCCUUCGGUGGUGGGUAGUCUGUCCUGCUGCAGAACAGGGCUUGGCAAGGAGAGAGGCCUGUCUCUAGGGCCCCAGAAGGGUCAGCUCUUCAGCCAGGCCAACCUGCUGGUUUGGGGCCUCCUGCGGAAAGCUGGAGCUGCAUUUGGGCCUCGUGGGGAGGCUGCAGGUUUCAUGGCCAAAUACCUGCCCUGGUGUCCACCAAGUCUCUGCAGACUCUGCCAAAGCCCUGGACUUGGCCACGGAUGAGGGAAACACCACAGAGGAGGAGAUGGCCAUGGAGACCCAAAGUCCCUCCGCGCUUCUAGAGGGCAUGGUGUGGAGGCCCCAGGGGACCCGGGUUUGAUCCCUGGUCUGGGAAGAUUCCACAUGCUGCAGAGCAACCAAGCCCCAGUGUGUCAACUACUGAAGCCCACAUGCCCUGGAGCCCAUCCUCUGCAACAAGAGAAGCCACCGCAAUGAGAAGCCCACAUCCCGAAAUUAGAGAGUAGCCCCCACUUGCCACAACUAGAGAAAGCCCAUGCAACAACAAAGACCCAGCAUAGCCAUA
ensembl:lncRNA